AAUCAACGCUGGCGGCGUGCCUCAGACAUGCAAGUCGAACGAUUAAGACUCCCUUCGGGGAGUGCAUAAAGUGGCGCACGGGUGAGUAACACGUAAGUAAUCUACCCUCGGGUGGGGAAUAACGUCCGGAAACGGACGCUAAUACCGCAUAAUGCAGCGGCACCGCAAGGUGACAGUUGUUAAAGAUUUAUUGCCUGGGGAGGAGCUUGCGGCAGAUUAGCUUGUUGGUAAGGAACGGCUUACCAAGGCUACGAUCUGUAUCCGGUCUAAGAGGACGGUCGGACACACUGACACUGAAUAACGGGUCAGACUCCUACGGGAGGCAGCAGUCGGGAAUUUUGGGCAAUGGGGGAAACCCUGACCCAGCAACGCCGCGUGAAGGAUGAAGUAUUUCGGUAUGUAAACUUCGAAAGAAUAGGAAGAAUUAAUGACGGUACUAUUUAUAGGUCCGCUAACUACGUGCCAGCAGCCGCGGUAAG
rnacentral:rRNA from 1 species